rnacentral:rRNA from 1 species
AUAUCAAUAAGCGGAGGAAAAGAAACCAACAGGGAUUGCCCCAGUAACGGCGAGUGAAGCGGCAGCAGCUCAAAUUUGAAAUCUGGCCCCCGGGGCCCGAGUUGUAGUUUGCAGAGGAUGCUCUGGGCGCGGCGCCUUCCGAGUUCCCUGGAACGGGACGCCACAGAGGGUGAGAGCCCCGUCUGGUCGGACGCCGAAGCCCGUGUAGAGCUCCUUCGACGAGUCGAGUAGUUUGGGAAUGCUGCUCAAAGCGGGAGGUAUAUGUCUUCUAAAGCUAAAUACCGGCCAGAGACCGAUAGCGCACAAGUAGAGUGAUCGAAAGAUGAAAAGCACUUUGGAAAGAGGGUUAAAGAGCACGUGAAAUUGUUGAAAGGGAAGCGCCCGUGACCAGACCUGGGCCCGGCGAAUCACCUGGCGUUCUCGCCGGCGCACUUCACCGGGCACAGGCCAGCAUCAGCUCGACGCGGGGGACAAAGGCGGCGGGAACGUGGCUCCCCAGGGAGUGUUAUAGCCCGCCGCGCAAUGCCCCGCGCCGGACUGAGGCACGCGCACCGCAAGGAUGCUGGCGUAAUGGUCAUCGGCGACCCGUCUUGAAACACGGACCAAGGAGUCGUCUUCGUAUGCGAGUGUUGGGGUGCCAAACCCCCGCGCGGAAUGAAAGUGAACGCAGGUGAGAGCUCCGGCGCAUCACCGACCGAUCCUGAUGUUCUCGGAUGGAUUUGAGUAGGAGCAUACGGGGCCGGACCCGAAAGAAGGUGAACUAUGCCUGUGUAGGGUGAAGCCAGAGGAAACUCUGGUGGAGGCUCGCAGCGGUUCUGACGUGCGAAUCGAUCGUCAAACAUGGGCAUGGGGGCGAAAGACUAAUCGAACCUUCUAGUAGCUGGUUU